AACGGUCUAUACCUGCGGUACCUGCGGAGGGAUCAUUAUUGAAUUUAAAACCGAGUGGGGUUGUAGCUGGCCUAAAGGCAUGUGCACGCCUCACUCGUGUCCAACCUUCACACCUCUGUGCACUUCUCAUGGGUCGGGUCGUGUCUGAAAUAUUGGCACAGCCCUUCCUGUGUGUUUAUACCACAAACCAAUGUCUGUUAUAGAAUGUCACUGUUGUGCGUAAAUGCAUACAAAUACAAC
rnacentral:misc_RNA from 1 species